rnacentral:rRNA from 1 species
GACGAACGCUGGCGGCGUGCCUAAUACAUGCAAGUAGAACGCUGAAGGAGGAGCUUGCUUCUCUGGAUGAGUUGCGAACGGGUGAGUAACGCGUAGGUAACCUGCCUGGUAGCGGGGGAUAACUAUUGGAAACGAUAGCUAAUACCGCAUAAUAGUAGAUGUUGCAUGACAUUUGCUUAAAAGGUGCAAUUGCAUCACUACCAGAUGGACCUGCGUUGUAUUAGCUAGUUGGUGGGGUAACGGCUCACCAAGGCGACGAUACAUAGCCGACCCGAGAGGGGGAUCGCCCAACCUGGGCCGGGAGCACGGCCCGAACCCCUCGGGUAGGAACAGGAGGGGAUCUUCCGCCAUUGGCGGAAGGCUGACCGGGACAGGCCGGGGGGGUUAAGAAGGGUUUCGGGUCGUAAAGGUCUGUUGUAAGAGAAGAACGAGUGUGAGAGUCGGAAGUUCACACUGUGACGGUAUCUGACCAGAAAGGGACGGCUAACUACGUG